GUCAGGAUGGCCGAGCGGUCUAAAAGGCGCUGCAAUCAGGUCGCAGUCCACUUGUGUGGGCGUGGGUUCGAAUCCCACUUCUGACU